rnacentral:rRNA from 1 species
AUUGAACGCUGGCGGCAGGCCUAACACAUGCAAGUCGAGCGGAUGAGAGGAGCUUGCUCCUUGAUUCAGCGGCGGACGGGUGAGUAAUGCCUAGGAAUCUGCCUGGUAGUGGGGGAUAACGUUCCGAAAGGAACGCUAAUACCGCAUACGUCCUACGGGAGAAAGCAGGGGACCUUCGGGCAUUGCGCUAUCAGAUGAGCCUAGGUCGGAUUAGCUAGUUGGUGAGGUAAUGGCUCACCAAGGCGACGAUCCGUAACUGGUCUGAGAGGAUGAUCAGUCACACUGGAACUGAGACACGGUCCAGACUCCUACGGGAGGCAGCAGUGGGGAAUAUUGGACAAUGGGCGAAAGCCUGAUCCAGCCAUGCCGCGUGUGUGAAGAAGGUCUUCGGAUUGUAAAGCACUUUAAGUUGGGAGGAAGGGCAGUAAGUUAAUACCUUGCUGUUUUGACGUUACCAACAGAAUAAGCACCGGCUAACUUCGUGCCAGCCGCCGCCGUAAGAC